AAGAUCACUGGCGGCGUGCCUACCAUGNCAGUCGGGCGGGGGAUGGCAGAGUAUCGCGUCCCUAGCGGCAGACGGGUGAGUAACGCGUAGGCAACCUGCCCCUGUCAGGGAGACAACCCUCUGAAAGGAGGGCUGAUAUCCCGUAGUCCCGGAGGGAGGCAUCUCCCCCUGGGGAAAGCGGAAACGCGGACAGGGAGGGGCCUGCGGCCUAUCAGCUAGUUGGCGGGGCAACGGCCCACCAAGGCAAAGACGGGUAGCCGAUCUAAAAGGAUGACCGGCCACAAGGGGACUGAGACACGGCCCCUACUCCUACGGGAGGCAGCAGUGGGGAAUUUUGGACAAUGGGGGAAACCCUGAUCCAGCGACGCCGCGUGGAGGACGAAGGCUUUCGGGUUGUAAACUCCUUUUGUCCGGGGCGAAAGUGCGCGAGCAUCUGACGGUACCGGACGAAUAAGCCACGGCUAACAACGUGCCAGCAGCCGCGGUAAU
rnacentral:rRNA from 1 species